rnacentral:rRNA from 1 species
AGAGUUUGAUCAUGGCUCAGAACGAACGUUGGCGGCGUGGAUUAGGCAUGCAAGUCGUGGGAAUCCCAGCAAUGGGGGAACCGGCGUAAGGGGCAGUAAGGCAUAGGUACCUACCUGGGGUUUGGGCAUAGCCCGUAGAGAUACGGGGUAAUUCCCAGCGAUGUCGCAAGACCAAAGCUCCGGCGACCUCAGAGGGGCCUAUGUGAUAUUAGCUAGUUGGUGAGGUAACGGCUCACCAAGGCGAAGAUGUCUAGCGGGUGUGAGAGCACGACCCGCGCCACUGGCACUGAGACACUGGCCAGACACCUACGGGUGGCUGCAGUCGAGGAUCUUCGGCAAUGGGGGCAACCCUGACCGAGCGACGCCGCGUGGGCGAUGAAGGCCUUCGGGUUGUAAAGCCCUGUCGAGGGGGAGAAAGGCCGCAAGGCGUGAUCUAUCCCUGGAGGAAGCACGGGCUAAGUUCGUGCCAGCAGCCGCGGUAAUUC